CGCGGGAUUGGGGCACGGGGGGACGGGGUGCAGCAGGCGCGAAACCUUUACAAUGCACGAAAGUGUGAUAAGGGAACCCAAAGUGCUUAGUUUAGCUAGGCUUUUGCCAAGAGUAAAUAUCUUGGAGAAUAAGUGGUGGGUAAGACUGGUGCCAGCCGCCGCGGUAAUACCAGCGCCACGAGUGGGAACUGUAAUUAUUGGGCCUAAAGCGUUCGUAGCCGGUUUGAUAAAUUUCUUGUGAAACUGUUGAGCUUAACUUAACAACGUGCAGGAAAGACUGUCAGACUUGGGACUGGGAGGAGCUAGAAGUAUCUUUAGGGUAGCGGUAAAAUGUUAUAAUCCUAAAGAGACUACCUAUGGCGAAAGCAUCUAGCCAGAACAGGUCCGACGGUGAGGAACGAAAGCUAGGGGAGCAAAACGGAUUAGAUACCCGAGUAGUCCUAGCCAUAAACGCUGCGAGCAAGAUGUUGCAUAUUCUUCGUGAAUAUGCAGUAUCGAAGAAGAGUCGUUAAGCUCGCCGCCUGGGAAGUAUGGUCGCAAGACUGAAACUAAAAGGAAUUGGCGGGGGAGCACUACAAGGGGUGCGGCGUGCGGUUUAAUCUACUCANNCGCAGAGAAUCUCACCAGCAGCGACGGCAGGAUGAAAGUCAGAUUAAAGGUUUUACUUGACGAGCCGAGAGGUAGUGCAUGGCCGCCGUCAGCUCGUUCCGUAAGGUGUCCUGUUAAGUCAGGCAACGAGCGAGACCUGUACCUACAAUUGCCAGCGGCAGAUUUAUCUGGACUGGGCACAUUGUAGGAACUGCCCUGGAAACAGGGAGGAAAGUGCAGGCUACGGUAGGUCUGUAUGCUCCGAAUCUGCUGGGCUACACGCGCGCAACAAUGGUAGAGACAAUGGGCUGCGACUCUGAAAAGAGAAGCUAAUCCUCGAAACUCUAUCUUAGUUCAGAUUGAGGAUUGUAACUCAUCCUCAUGACGCUGGAAUCCCUAGUAAUCAGGUUUUAUCAUAGCCUGGUGAAUAUGUCCCUGCUCCUUGCACGAAUUCGCCGAAUCACUAGU
rnacentral:rRNA from 1 species